rnacentral:rRNA from 1 species
UCUUUCGCCAUGGACGAAAGUCUGACGGAGCAACGCCGCGUGAGUGAUGAAGGUUUUCGGAUCGUAAAACUCUGUUGUUAGGGAAGAACAAGUAUCGUUCGAAUAGGGCGGUACCUUGACGGUACCUAACCAGAAAGCCACGGCUAACUACGUGCCAGCAGCCGCGGUAAUACGUAGGUGGCAAGCGUUGUCCGGAAUUAUUGGGCGUAAAGCGGGGGGAGGCGGUUUCGUAAGGCUGAUGGGAAAUCUUGCGGCUCAACCGCAAGCGGCCAUUGGAAACUGGGAGACUUGAGUGCAGAAGAGGAGAGUGGAAUUCCACGUGUAGCGGUGAAAUGCGUAGAGAUGUGGAGGAACACCAGUGGCGAAGGCGACUCUCUGGUCUGUAACUGACGCUGAGGCGCGAAAGCGUGGGGAGCGAACAGG